CCCCACCCUUCACCAUAGCAGCGGCGCCCGCUCUCUCAUCUCCUCCCCUCCUCAUCGCUGCUUCCCUUUUCUCCCCGGCGAGAAACAACAGCCAGAAGCUCCAGCGAGCAGGCUCUAUCGACAGAAACAACAAGCUCCAGCCAGCGAGCUCAAGGCAGCGUCGCCUCUUUCUCACUUCCGGCAAAGGCGAGAGAACAACAACACCAGCAACCGAUAUCCCUAGCGCCUCCCUCCAUUCGUUUCUAUUUUCCAGCAGCUCCAGCGAUGACCAACAGCAGCGGAGAUGAUCAGCGUCUGGUUUUCUCUUUUUCAUUCUCCAAUCAGCAAGCUACGUGGAAGCAGCUCUGAUGCAGCCGCCUUCUCCUCCAGCGAGUCGAUUUCUAUUAGACAUGAGUAUCGAUAGUUCUAUCCUAAUUUUUAGCUGAGUUGAAUUUGAUUUGAAGGAAGUUACAUCACUGAUUGAAGGUGGAGCAUAUACAAGUGAAGUGCAGAAGAUAUAGAGGGCUAUGAGAUUGACCACGAAACUCAGGAGCAAACUAAAGGCUUCAGUACUUUCUACUUUUUGGCCUAAUUUUGUGAACUUGAAUGAGUGCCAAUUUUUGAACAUUCUAGGAUUAUUUUAUGUUUAGGCUUAAUUUUUGUGAAUAUCAAUUUAUGUUAAAUCUUAAAUUGUAAAUCAAGAUCAUGUGUACUUAUCUUUGAUAUAUGGAUGUGACUAGUUGAA